rnacentral:rRNA from 1 species
AGAGUUGAUCAUGGCUCAGGACGAACGCUGGCGGCGUGCCUAACACAUGCAAGUCGAGCGGGGACAUGCGACGGAUGGAAGAUUCGGUUGGACUUGAAGAUGCAUCGUCUAGCGGCGGACGGGUGAGUAACGCGUGAGCAACCUGUCCCUUACAGGGGAUAACACAGCGAAAGUUGUACUAAUACCGCAUAAGACCACGGGAGGACAUCCUUCAGGGGUCAAAGGAGCAAUCCGGUAAGGGGUGGGCUCGCGUCCGAUUAGAUAGUUGGUGAGGUAACGGCCCACCAAGUCGACGAUCGGUAGCCGACCUGAGAGGGUGAUCGGCCACAUUGGGACUGAGACACGGCCCAAACUCCUACGGGAGGCAGCAGUGGGGAAUAUUGGGCAAUGGGGGGAACCCUGACCCAGCAACGCCGCGUGAGGGAAGAAGGUUUUCGGAUCGUAAACCUCUGUCCUUGGUGAAGAGGAAGAGACGGUAGCCAAGGAGGAAGCCCCGGCUAACUACGUGCCAGCCGCCGC